rnacentral:rRNA from 1 species
AUUGAACGCUGGCGGCAGGCCUAACACAUGCAAGUCGAGCGGAGUGGCGGACGGGUGAGUAAUGCCUAGGAAUCUGCCUGGUCGUGGGGGCUAACGUCCGGAAACGGGCGCUAACACCGCAUACUAUCAGAUGAGCCUAGGUCGGAUUAGCUAGUUGUUGGGGUAAAGGCCUACCAAGGCGACGAUCCGUAACUGGUCGGAGAGGAUGAUCCGUAACACUGGCACUGAGACACGGUCCAGACUCCUACGGGAGGCAGAAGUGGGGAAUAGUGGACAAUGGGCGAAAGCCUGAGCCGGCCAUGCCGCGUGUGUGAAGAAGGUCUUCGGAUUGUAAAGCACUUUAAGUUGGGAGGCGUUACCAACAGAAUAAGCACCGGCUAACUUCGUGCCAGCAGCCGCGGUAAUAC